CUUGAUGGCCUUAAAUCUCCUAAAGUCACCAGACCCUUUCUGGGAUUUGAAAUAAGCCAGGUGUGCUCUGGUAAGUACUUUGAUGAGAGACCACCAAUGAAGACCAGGUGCUAUUGACU
rnacentral:rRNA from 11 species